UACAGAGGUGCCAAGCGUUAGGCGGAAUCACUGGGCUUAAAGCGCGUGUAGGUGGGUCGUUAAGUGUCCGCGUGAAAUCCCACGGCUCAACCGUGGAGCUGCCGGGCAUACUGGCGAUCUUGAGGCAUUCAGGGGCGAGCGGAACAAGUGGUGGAGCGGUGAAAUGCGUUGAUAUCAUCAGGAACUCCGGUGGCGAAGGCGGCUCGCUGGACCCUCUCUGACGCUGAGGCGCGAAAGCCAGGGGAGCAAACGGG
rnacentral:rRNA from 1 species